AGAGUUUGAUCCUGGCUCAGGAUGAACGCUAGCGGCAGGCUUAACACAUGCAAGUCGAGGGGUAACAGGGAGGAGCUUGCUUUUCCGCUGACGACCGGCGCACGGGGGCGUAACGCGUAUAGAACCUACCUAUUACAGGGGAAUAGCCCAGAAAUUUGGAUUAAUGCCCUAUAGUAUUGUUGAAUGGCAUCAUUUAAUAAUUAAACAUUUAUGGGUAAAAGAUGGCUAUGCGUUCUAUUAGCUAGAUGGUAAGGUAACGGCUUACCAUGGCAACGAUAGAUAGGGGUCCUGAGAGGGUGAACCCCCACACUGGUACUGAGACACGGACCAGACUCCUACGGGAGGCAGCAGUGAGGAAUAUUGGUCAAUGGAGGCAACUCUUAACCAGCCAUCCCGCGUGAAGGAUUGAAGGCGCUCGACGUCGUAAACUUCUUUUAUAUAGGAAUAAACCUUGGUACGUGUACCAAGCUGAAGGUACUAUAUGAAUAAGCAUCGGCUAACUCCGUGCCAGCAGCCGCGGUAAUACGGAGGGUCCGAGCGUUAUCCGGAUUUAUUGGGUUUAAAGGGUGCGCAGGCGGGCUAAUAAGUCAGUGGUGAAAUCUCUCGGCUCAACCGAGAAACUGCCAUUGAAACUGCCGGUCUUGAGUUUAGUUGACGUUGGCGGAAUGUGACAUGUAGCGGUGAAAUGCAUAGAUAUGUCACAGAACACCAAUUGCGAAGGCAGCUGACGAAACUACAACUGACGCUCAUGCACGAAAGCGUGGGGAGCAAACAGGAUUAGAUACCCUGGUAGUCCACGCCGUAAACGAUGAUUACUCGAUGUCGGCGAUAUACAGUCGGUGUCUUAGCGAAAGUGUUAAGUGAUCCACCUGGGGAGUACGUUCGCAAGAAUGAAACUCAAAGGAAUUGACGGGGGCCCGCACAAGCGGUGGAGCAUGUGGUUUAAUUCGAUGAUACGCGAGGAACCUUACCUGGGCUUAAAUGUAGAGUGCUUUUCAUGGAAACAUGAUUUUCUUCGGACGCUCUACAAGGUGCUGCAUGGUUGUCGUCAGCUCGUGCCGUGAGGUGUCAGGUUAAGUCCUAUAACGAGCGCAACCCCUACCGUUAGUUGCCAUCAUGUAAUGUCGGGGACUCUAAGGAGACUGCCGGUGCAAACCGUGAGGAAGGUGGGGAUGACGUCAGGUCAGCACGGCCCUUACGUCCAGGGCUACACACGUGCUACAAUGGCAGGUACAGAGGGCAGCUACAUAGUGAUAUGAUGCGAAUCCUCAAAGCCUGUCUCAGUUCGGAUCGAAGUCUGAAACUCGUCUCCGUGAAGCUGGAAUCGCUAGUAAUCGGAUAUCAGCCAUGAUCCGGUGAAUACGUUCCCGGGCCUUGUACACACCGCCCGUCAAGCCAUGGAAUCUGGGAGUGCCUGAAGUCGGUAACCGCAAGGAGCCGCCUAGGGUAAAACUGGUAACUAGGGCUAAGUCGUAACAAGGUAGCCGUACCGGAAGGUGCGGCUGGAAUAUCUCCUU
rnacentral:rRNA from 1 species